rnacentral:rRNA from 1 species
UGGGGAAUCUUCCGCAAUGGACGAAAGUCUGACGGAGCAACGCCGCGUGAGUGAUGACGGUCUUCGGAUUGUAAAGCUCUGUUAAUCGGGACGAAUGGUUUGUGUGCAAAUAGUGCAUAGACAUGACGGUACCGGAAUAGAAAGCCACGGCUAACUACGUGCCAGCAGCCGCGGUAAUACGUAGGUGGCAAGCGUUGUCCGGAAUUAUUGGGCGUAAAGGGUUCGCAGGCGGAAAUGCAAGUCAGGUGUAAAAGGCAGUAGCUUAACUACUGUAAGCAUUUGAAACUGCAUAUCUUGAGAAGAGUAGAGGUAAGUGGAAUUUUUAGUGUAGCGGUGAAAUGCGUAGAUAUUAAAAAGAAUACCGGUGGCGAAGGCGACUUACUGGGCUCAUUCUGACGCUGAGGAACGAAAGCGUGGGUAGCAAACAGG